GAGGAAUCAUUUCCGUUGCUUGAAACACUCGUUAUAAAGAAGUGCGGUGACCUAGAGGAGAUCCCAGUUAGCUUUGCUGAUAUUCCCACAUUGGAACAGAUUAAAUUGAUUGGGUCCUGGAAAGUAUCUCUGGAGGAUUCAGCUGUGAGAAUGAAGGAAGAAAUCAUACAGAUUGAAGGAUGUGAUCGUUUACACCUCGUCAAACAACACUCAGAUUGAUGAUAGCUAAUUGUUG
rnacentral:misc_RNA from 1 species